AUUGCUUCUCUGCCUUUUGUACUUGAUCAAGUGUAGUAUCUGUUUCUUAUUAGUUUAAUAUCUGAUGCGUCCUCUAAAUGAGGGCUACACAUUAAAUUGAUAUUUACAACAAGGAGACGGAAGAGGAGCUUGCUCCGUAAGCUCCACGCAUCAACCUGGUAUUGCAGUACUUCUGGGAACAUUGUACCUCCU